rnacentral:rRNA from 1 species
CUACUACGGGAGGCAGCAGUGGGGGAUAUUGCACAAUGGGGGGAACCCUGAUGCAGCGACGCCGCGUGAACGAAGAAAUAUUUGGGUAUGUAAAGUUCUAUCAGCAGGGAAGAAAAUGACAGUACCUGACCAAGAAGCCCCGGCUAACUACGUGCCAGCAGCCGCGGUAAUACGUAGGGGGCGAGCGUUAUCCGGAUUCACUGGGCGUAAAGGGAGCGCAGGCGGCACGGCAAGCCUGGUGUGAAAGCCCGGGGCCCAACCCCGGCACUGCACUGGCAACUGCCGGGCUGGAGAGUCGG